rnacentral:lncRNA from 1 species
UGGUAACAUUAAACAUCGCGUACUCUAUUUGUUAGGAGAUACAUUGGCUAAGUAUGGCUCACUUACUAAUAACGGAAAUAAUAAUAAUGAAACAAUUAAAUGGUUAAAUAAAUACAAAGAAAAAUAAAAAAAAAUAAUACAUAUAGAAUCAAGCGGAAUGUCGAAAAAACUAACUAUAGUACAAAGUACAUUUAACUCCCAAGAACGUAAGGCUCCUCUUUUUUUUAGGCGGGUUAAAGUUUUGCGCAGUCAUUUAAAAUCCCUUAACUUGUAUUUCCGAGCUGCUGGUAAGUCGGCUGAAGGUUUGUCAUUUAUUAGGUUCUGGUUGUCUCUCGCUUUCAAAAUUUCUAUUGUUUUUUGGGUUACUGCCUGUGUUGGUAGCUUAAUCGUCUUUAUUAUCUCUGCACGGUCAUUCUAUAUGCAUAUCGUUAAGAUAGGCUUGUUCAGCUAGGGCCGUCGUAAUUCUGCCUGCCUUGAUAUCAUUUCUAUGUUCUUUGAGCCUUUGUCAAAAUAUCAUUUACUAUCAUCAUCUACUAUUC